GUCGCCCAGGCUGGAGUGCAGUGGUGCAAUUUUGGCUCACUGCAACCUCUCCCUCCUGGGUUCAAGCUGAGGCACAAGAAUCGCUUGAGCCGGGGAGGCAGAGUUUGCAGUGAGCCGAGAUUGUGCCGCUGCACUCCAGCCUGGGCAACAGAACCAAACCCUGUCUCGGAUAAACAAACAAACAAACAAAAAGCAGACCUAACACAAAUGUUUUCAACAUGUAAC
rnacentral:lncRNA from 1 species